rnacentral:rRNA from 1 species
GUCGAGCGGACAGAUGGGAGCUUGCUCCCUGAUGUCAGCGGCGGACGGGUGAGUAACACGUGGGUAACCUGCCUGUAAGACUGGGAUAACUCCGGGAAACCGGGGCUAAUACCGGAUGCUUGUUUGAACCGCAUGGUUCAAACAUAAAAGGUGGCUUCGGCUACCACUUACAGAUGGACCCGCGGCGCAUUAGCUAGUUGGUGAGGUAAUGGCUCACCAAGGCAACGAUGCGUAGCCGACCUGAGAGGGUGAUCGGCCACACUGGGACUGAGACACGGCCCAGACUCCUACGGGAGGCAGCAGUAGGGAAUCUUCCGCAAUGGACGAAAGUCUGACGGAGCAACGCCGCGUGAGUGAUGAAGGUUUUCGGAUCGUAAAGCUCUGUUGUUAGGGAAGAACAAGUGCCGUUCAAAUAGGGCGGCACCUUGACGGUACCUAACCAGAAAGCCACGGCUAACUACGUGCCAGCAGCCGCGGUAAUACGUAGGUGGCAAGCGUUGUCCGGAAUUAUUGGGCGUAAAGGGCUCGCAGGCGGUUUCUUAAGUCUGAUGUGAAAGCCCCCGGCUCAACCGGGGAGGGUCAUUGGAAACUGGGGAACUUGAGUGCAGAAGAGGAGAGUGGAAUUCCACGUGUAGCGGUGAAAUGCGUAGAGAUGUGGAGGAACACCAGUGGCGAAGGCGACUCUCUGGUCUGUAACUGACGCUGAGGAGCGAA